rnacentral:rRNA from 1 species
GGACUACCGGGGUAUCUAAUCCCGUUCGCUCCCCUGGCUUUCGCGCCUCAGCGUCAGAAGGGGUCCAGCACGCCGCUUUCGCCACCGGCGUUCCUUCGGAUAUCUACGCAUUUCACCGCUCCACCCGAAGUUCCGCAUGCCCCUACCCCCCUCGAGGCGAGCAGUAUCGGAGGCCGUUUUCCGGUUGGGCCGAAAGAUUUCACCCCCGACUCGCUCGCCCGCCUACGCGCCCUUUAAGCCCAGUGAAUCCGAACAACGUUCGCACGGUUCGUCUUACCGCGGCUGCUGGCAC